CUCGAGAGAGGGCCCUUCGACAAGAGAACGGCAGACUUUGUAUGGAUGCUGAUCUUCGGAGCGCUCUCACUUCUUGGAUUCUAUCUUCCAUGGGCAAUGCUAGCACUGGACUUGAUAUUCGGAAAUCCUUUGAUGCCAGACAUGCUAGGGACAGCUGCGGGACAUUUGCAUUACUUCCUAAUAGUGCUUCAUCCUCUUUCCGGGGGGAAGUUCAUCUUGAAGACUCCUCUUUGGGUUCACAAACUAGUUGCAUUUUGGGGUGAGGGAACACAAAUAAAUUCC